GAGUCACUGGUGUGGUCUCUGGGGGCGGGAAACAGUCACUCCUGGGAAACCCCUCAUCGGUGCUACAAGGCAGGGUUGAAUUCGAGGGCUGUUGAGAGUGGGUGCCAAGGAUCUUCAGGGACCCCGGUGACAGACAGGCCCAUCAGUGUGACUCAACUGGGCAAAAGAAAGCAGCUGUGGUCCCUGCCCUCAAGGAGCUCUGGCUUGCAGCAGACUAGCUAUGUGGCAAACGUGCAAUUGCCACAUGCGGCUCACGGCUCCCUGACGGGGAUAGUGCAGAUCCAGAUGGCUCUUCCCCUCAAGGAAAAGUCAUGUCAAGCUGCCUGCUGUGAGGCCGGCUGGCUCUCAGGGAGGACCAUGUGUGCUAGAGACAUAGUGGUGAGCAAAAGAGGUGCUGUCUCUGCUAUCCUGAAGGGCAGCCUGGAGCAUAAGAGGCAUAGACUACUGUCUGCAGCUCUAGCCAACACACCCCACCCCUUCCCUGACCUCCGUGCUCCUUGAGUGACAACUGCCUCAGAGGGACAUGUUUUGGAGCGUCUGCCCUGCUCACAAUGACCACCUUCACGGCAGGGAUGAACCCCAGCAACCAGGAUUAAUUUUUGUGACCCAUCCCCUGGGUGUGGAUAGAGGUUGCCUGAUGGUGGUUGCUGCAGGGUGUCUUGGAAUCCUAGUAAGAACCCCAAGGGUCAGUCCAGCCACAACACUGAUUAUUGGUGGUCUCUCUGCCUGGAAGCUUCUUUCUCCACUUGCUCUCUGAUCACCUCUACUUCCACUUCAAGGCCCAACUCAAAUGCCUCUUGCCUUCACUGAAGCCCGCCUCUGCAACGUGCCCACAGCGCUGGACAGACUGUACUGAGCCGUGAUUGUAUCUGGUUGAAGUUUCCUACCGUGAACUGUUGAGGGUAGGCAUGCUGUCACAUUCAUCUCAGAAUCUUCCUUGGCUAGCGUGGAGCCUGGCUUCUAAGAAGCCCUCAAAAUUGUCUCCUGAAUGAAUAAAGUGUGUGUCCUGGUUGUUUGUAUUCAAAGCAACUCUUACUUUCGUAUCUGCAAGCGUGCUGGAGAACGAGUGGGGAGGCCCUGCGCUCCUCUCUGAAUAAAUAAAUGAGACAGUGACCUCAUUUUCUGUGUUUCUGCCCUGGCCUUCCUUG